ensembl:lncRNA
GAGCCUCCUACCUACUGCAGCCGGUGGAGGUGCUGUGGGGUCUGUAGACCCCGGACGGAGAUGAACCAAUAAGUGAGGGAAACAAAGGGGAAGAUAUUGCCUUGAAGAUCAAAGCAAAAAAUGGUCAGGAGUUACCCCAAAGCUGCAAGUCAGGUUUCCUGGUCCCUACUCCACUAGGGAGAAUUCAAGGGAAAAUGAAAAGGGGUGGAUCUUGAUGGAAUCAGGAUGGAGAAAAAGCAAAGACACAAUGAAGGUGGUUUUCCUUAGCUAAUAUCUUGUAGCCUCCGUCUUCUAUGAAUUUUCUGAAAUUCUCCUUUUCCUUUUUAUUUGUAGCUGCUACUAAACAAUACUUGUAAGCUUUACCCUGUUUCAGAUAAGAAGUGUUAUGUUAUCUCCUAUUUGAAUUUUGUAACAGCAUCCUCUGGGACUUGCUGCUGCUGCUGCUAAGUCACUUCAGUCAUGUCCGACUCUAUGCGACCCCAUAGACAGCGGCCCCCGUCCCUGGGAUUCUCCAGGCAAGAACACUGGAGUGGGUUGCCAUUUCCUUCUCCAAUGCAUGAAAGUGAAAAGUGAAAGUGAAGUCGCUCAGUCGUGUCUGACUCUUAGCAACUCCAUGGACUGCAGCCCACCAGGCUCCUCCGUCCAUGGGAUUUUCCAGGCCAGAGUACUGGAGCGGGGUGCCAUUGCCUUCUCCUCUGAGACUUGAGGCUGUUCUUAAUGAACAAUUGAACACUCUGACACAGCUUUCGUGGACAGGAGGUUGGUGAAGUGAAAAUACUCAGGCUGAAGAGUUGCACCUGCUGUAGUUACCACCAUGUGGUAGAAAUAGCCCACCUUGCCAGGAAACCUGAGUCCCAGUCCCGAAUCUGUCAGGGACAUGCAGUGGAAUGACUCUUGGCGCCCUCUUUUCCUUAUCUGAACUGCUUUGUUACAACUUGUCUCAAUGUUUCCUCAGGGCAGCCAUGUGAGGUACAGAAGAGAUGCACUACUUUUCCAAUUUUAUAAAGAAACUGAGGUUCAGAGAAGUUCUUUGGUUAGGCUUGAGCAGCUAAGGGGAGGUAGGUUUACUUAUUAGUUCUGUCCCUUGAACAACGCCAUGGUGGUUGGGUGCAUGAACUUCGGAUCCCAGCUGCCUGAGUUCGAGUCCUGGCUCUGCCACUUCCAGCUGUGAGCAAGGUACUUAAUCACUUUGUCCCUCGCUUCACUCAUCUAUAAGACAGAAAUAAUGAAACUGAAAGUCACUCAGUCAUAUCUGACUCUUUGAGACCCCAUGGACUCUACAGUCCAUGGAAUUCUCCAGGGCAGAAUACUGGAGUGGGUAGCCUUUCCCUUCUCCAGGGGAUCUUCCCAACCCAGGGAUCGAACCUAGGUCUCCUACAUUGCAGGUGGAUUCUUUACCAGCUGAGCCACCAGGGAAGCCAAAGACAGAAAUAAUAGUACUGGCCCUUAACACAAAGUCAUGUGAGAAUUAAAUGAGGUAAUAUGGGUACAGUCCUUAGAGAAAUUCCUGGCACACAGCAAGCAUUCAGUGUCUGCUAUUAUUAUUGUUUUUACCACCAGAUCAGUGUUCCUCUGUUCCCAGGUUCAGGAAAGAUUAAAUACAUUGUGCUGAAUCAAUUAUUGUGAGAGGCAGAAUGAAGCUGUCCCAAAGAUGUCCAUAUCCUAAUCCUCUAUUGUGUGACUGUGUUACCUGACCCAACAAAAGGGACUUUAAAUAUGUGACAGUUGUUGUUGUUUAGUUGCUAAAUCAUGCACAACUCUUUGUGACCCCAUGGACUGUAGCCAGCCAGGCUCCUCCGUGGGAUUCCCCAGGCAAGAAUACUGGAGUAGGUUGUCAUUUCCUUCUCCAGGGGAUCUUCCGGACCCAGGGAUCAAAGCCAUAUCUCCUGCUUGGCAGGCAGAUUCUUUUUAUUUUUUUACCACCAAGCCACCUGGAACGAUGUCACUAGUUUAAAGAUUUUGAGGUGGGAGGAUUUUCUUGGAUGAUCCGGGUAGGCCCAAUGUCAUCAUAAAGAGUCCUUACAAGUGAAAGAGAGAGGCAGGAGGGUCAGUGUCAGAGUGAUAGGAGGCAAGAGAAACUUGACUAGCCAUUGCUUGGAAGGUGGAAGAGAGCACACGUGGAUAGCUGGGAAAAAACAAAAACAAGCUUCUAGAUUCUCCAGGUGGAAAUGCCAUGCAGCUCCUGCAGCCACCUUGAAUUUAACCCAGUGAAACCCAGUUCUAAUCUCCGGAACUGUGAGAUAAUAAAUUUGUGUUUCUCAAGCUACUAGAUUGGUGGUAAUUUGUUACAGCAGCAGUAGG